AUGGGGUGACUGCGUACCUUUUGUAUAAUGGGUCAGCGACUUAUAUUCUGUAGCAAGGUUAACCGUAUAGGGGAGCCGUAGGGAAACCGAGUCUUAACUGGGCGAAUGAGUUGCAGGGUAUAGACCCGAAACCCGGUGAUCUAUCCAUGGGCAGGUUGAAGGUUGGGUAACACUAACUGGAGGACCGAACCGACUAAUGUUGAAAAAUUAGCGGAUGACUUGUGGAUGGGGGUGAAAGGCCAAUCAAACCGGGAGAUAGCUGGUUCUCCCCGAAAGCUAUUUAGGUAGCGCCUCGUGAACUCAUCUUCGGGGGUAGAGCACUGUUUCGACUAGGGGGUCAUCCCGACUUACCAACUCGAUGCAAACUGCGAAUACCGAAGAAUGUUAUCACGGGAGACACACGGCGGGUGCUAACGUCCGUCGUGAAGAGGGAAACAACCCAGACCGCCAGCUAAGGUCCCAAAGUCAUGGUUAAGUGGGAAACGAAGUGGGAAGGCUCAGACAGCCAGGAUGUUGGCUUAGAAGCAGCCAUCAUUUAAAGAAAGCGUAAUAGCUCACUGGUCGAGUCGGCCCGCGCGGAAGAUGUAACGGGGCUAAACCAUGCACCGAAGCUGCGGCAGCGACACAUAGUGUUGUUGGGUAGGGGAGCGUUCUGUAAGCCUGCGAAGGUGUACUGUGAGGUAUGCUGGAGGUAUCAGAAGUGCGAAUGCUGACAUAAGUAACGAUAAUGCGGGUGAAAAACCCGCACGCCGGAAGACCAAGGGUUCCUGUCCAACGUUAAUCGGGGCAGGGUGAGUCGACCCCUAAGGCGAGGCUGAAAAGCGUAGUCGAUGGGAAACGGGUUAAUAUUCCCGUACUGGUGGUAACUGCGAUGGGGGAACGGAGAAGGCUAGGUUGUCCGGGCGACGGUCGUCCCGGUUCAAGCAGGUAGGCAGAGUGAUUAGGCAAAUCCGGUCACUUAAUGCUGAGAUGUGAUGACGAACCACCAAGGUGGUGAAGCAAUUGAUGCCCCGCUUCCAGGAAAAGCCUCUAAGCUUCAGGUUACCAACAAUCGUACCCCAAACCGACACAGGUGGUCAGGUAGAGAAUACUCAGGCGCUUGAGAGAACUCGGGUGAAGGAACUAGGCAAAAUGGUGCCGUAACUUCGGGAGAAGGCACGCUGGCGGUAGGUAAAGUCCCUCGCGGACGGCGCUGAAGCCAGUCGAAGAUACCAGCUGGCUGCAACUGUUUAUUAAAAACACAGCACUGUGCAAACACGAAAGUGGACGUAUACGGUGUGACGCCUGCCCGGUGCUGGAAGGUUAAUUGAUGGGGUUAGCGCAAGCGAAGCUCCUGAUCGAAGCCCCAGUAAACGGCGGCCGUAACUAUAACGGUCCUAAGGUAGCGAAAUUCCUUGUCGGGUAAGUUCCGACCUGCACGAAUGGCGUAAUGAUGGCCAGGCUGUCUCCACCCGAGACUCAGUGAAAUUGAACUCGCUGUGAAGAUGCAGUGUACCCGCGGCAAGACGGAAAGACCCCGUGAACCUUUACUAUAGCUUGACACUGAACAUUGAGCCUUGAUGUGUAGGAUAGGUGGGAGGCUUUGAAGUGUGGACGCCAGUCUGCAUGGAGCCAACCUUGAAAUACCACCCUUUAACGUUUGAUGUUCUAACCUAGGCCCAUAAACUGGGUCGGGGACCGUGUCUGGUGGGUAGUUUGACUGGGGCGGUCUCCUCCUAAAGAGUAACGGAGGAGCACGAAGGUUGGCUAAGCAUGGUCGGACAUCAUGCGGUUAGUGCAAAGGCAUAAGCCAGCUUGACUGCGAGAGUGACGGCUCGAGCAGGUACGAAAGUAGGUCUUAGUGAUCCGGUGGUUCUGAAUGGAAGGGCCAUCGCUCAACGGAUAAAAGGUACUCCGGGGAUAACAGGCUGAUACCGCCCAAGAGUUCAUAUCGACGGCGGUGUUUGGCACCUCGAUGUCGGCUCAUCACAUCCUGGGGCUGAAGUAGGUCCCAAGGGUAUGGCUGUUCGCCAUUUAAAGUGGUACGCGAGCUGGGUUUAGAACGUCGUGAGACAGUUCGGUCCCUAUCUGCCGUGGGCGUUGGAAGAUUGAGAGGGGUUGCUCCUAGUACGAGAGGACCGGAGUGAACGCACCACUGGUGUUCGGGUUGUCAUGCCAAUGGCAUUGCCCGGUAGCUAAGUGCGGAAGAGAUAACCGCUGAAAGCAUCUAAGCGGGAAACUUGCCUCGAGAUGAGUCUUCCCUGUCGCUUUAAGCGACCUAAAGGAACGUUUAAGACUAAGACGUUGAUAGGCUGGGUGUGUAAGCGUAGCGAUACGUUGAGCUAACCAGUACUAAUGAACCGUGAGGCUUAACCUG
rnacentral:rRNA from 1 species